ensembl:lncRNA
GGUGGCGGCGGAGGGGAGGACUAGGGGCGGCGGCUCACUGGGUCUGGGCGGCGGGCGCGGGGGGCCUCGGAGCAGGGCCCGCGCGGGGCGGCUCGGGCUCGGGCUCGGGUUCCUGGAAGGGGCCGCGUCCGCCGGAAGGGGCGAGCGGCCCCGCGCGCCGCCGCCAGCGCCGCUGUUUACGGGCCGGCUCUGUACUUUACCCGGCGCCGCGGGGCUGGGGCGGGGGGCCCUCCGCCGCCUCCCGGGCGCACCUCACCCCCGCCCUGAUGCCGCGCGCGGUGUGCCCGGCUGUGACACCUCAGCAGCGCCCGCACGGCCGGCCUGGCUUCGUAUUGUUCUCCCGCCCACCCUCGGCCGCUGCGGCCCGCGAGCUGUCGGCCUCCCGUCUGCCCAGGGGGAGAGCCGGGGGGUGUAGGUGGCGCGUGUGAUCGCGGACUCAGAAAGGCCGAGUCGGUGGCUGGAGCACAACCACCACCUUGAGGAGCUGGCUGGGUUUCGCCAAGACUGGUUUGGGGGGAGCCCCCAGGGGAUCCCAGGAUCCCCUCCCCACCCACCCCCCCACCCUCUUUGUUGGGAGUUUUGCUCAGCACGCUGUAAUCAAAGGCUCCCACAGUCGGGUGAGAGUGGGAGUUGCUCGUAGAGACGCCAGCUUUGUGCGUGUUUCAGGCGAGUGCCGUCGCUCGCGCGUCUUUGCGCGGCAGUUUUGUGUCAUUGAGUAGAAUCGUGCAGAAAGGCUUUUAUGCAAAGUGAGCGUUGGGUUCGGGCUGAUUCCGAGGUAGAGCGUAGUAGUCAUUGUGGAAGAAAUUGCGUGGGGGCGGGGGCGGGGGGAAACAAGCUGCGAGAAUUCUGUCAGUAUCGGGUGUGGAGGGCUAGAUCUUGGGUUCCUGUGUUUUGACACUCCUUGUAGCCAGGAGGGGUUUGCCUUUCCGGCUGCAGUUCCGAAUGGUAAAGGGGGUGGAAACACCCGGGCGUGCGAGUGACGGAGCGCGGUUGAGCGCUUCACAUGGUCAAGCAGAGAAGUGGGAAGAGGCCGGCUGGCUUCUUCCUGGUCUUGGGUAGUGGUGCAAGGGCUGCCUGGACUGGAAAAGGCUCCCUAUUUCAGCCUUUGGAAUAAAGAAAGAUGUUAG